rnacentral:lncRNA from 1 species
GCCUUGGAGCUGCCUCUGGCUCUGUUCUGUGCCUUUGCUCUUGAUGGGCUGCUGGGGCUGCCCUGUGCCGGCUGGAUGCCAUCUCCCUCCGCCAGCCCCUGGGCUUUCUGGAGCUUUACACAGCUCAAAUCCCCUGCGAAUGGAUAAAUGGGCUCUUCAAAGGCAGAAAGGGAAUCUCUUUCCUGGCUGUUGGAGACAUUAGGUGAAUUACUGCUCCAGCGCUUCAGUCCCGCAAAGUUUCUUCAAAGAAACCCCCAGCCUGGAACUGGUGCGGCUCUGCAGAGGGAAACGCCGCACUGUACUUCAAAGAGGAGAAAAUCUGCAGCUGCCGGGAGCCCGCCUGCCCCAGGAGGUGUCACUGUUGGGACUGGCAGGUUCUUUAGAUUUAUGCAGUAGCCAUGUUUGUCAAAGUAUUUGGCUCUGGUGACAUCAUCUUUGUUGAAACGCCGGACAGCAUGAUGAGUCCCAGAUGUUAAUGCACACUGAGAGUCGAGAAAGAAUAAAAUCCAAAGAUCAACACUAACAGCUCUGGAGGAGUGCACUCACUUUGCACUCUGGGGUUGAUGGAUGAAUACGUGAUUUUUUCCAAGGCAUCCUAAAGCUGUUAAACCUUACAGUCUGUUUUCUUUCUGCCUGGCUUGUAAACUUUCGGCUCGGUGAAAGAAGUUGUGAGUUAUUUUCCUCUGGCAAAUGAAGCUCCAGGCAUGGAUCCCUUGCUGCUGACACAGUGCAAAGGAUAAAAAAGCCAUUUAAAAGACGGGUAAGAACAAACAACGUGAUUAAAGGGAGCUGCCAAAAGCUGUACAAGUGUCAGCUGCCACCACUGCUCGUUACAUGGAUGAAGCUGUUGACUUUUAAUUUAUAGACAUUUGAGAAGGUGUACGUGAAGACUUGAAAAGAAGGCUUUCUUUUGCUAAAAGAAAAAAGAGAACUGUUAUUAAGAACCUCUGCUGAAAUACACUGAAUUACUUCUGCUGGUCUGUGCUAUUUGCCAAUGAGAUCUUUCUGGUUGUGUCAGAAGAUGUUCAGUCUGUCGUUCAGAUCCUCAAGCAGUGAAAUGGAGGAGAUAGUAUUUGACCAUCUGGCACUGUCUUCUUGGGCUUUACUGACUGCAAAAACAGAAGAUGUUCUGCUGAGUGAUGGCUGGUUUUUGUCCUGUCAUGUCCUGAGUUUCCACAUCCCCCUGCUCGAAGAAAUGCCAGUUCUUCCAACCACUUCUUUUUUCCUGGAUACCUGUCAACUGUUCACAUUCAGAGACCUUGGAAGGGUAACCAACUUUGAAGAUUUUGUAGACGGCUUUUUGCCCGAAUGGGAAACUGCUGAGUUUCAUCUCAUCCCUGUAGUGGUUAAUUCCAGGACACUGGGAAAGACCCCGAGCUCUAAACGUUGGAUUAAGAUCUUCACUUCAGCAGCUGAGACAAUCACACUCAGGAAACUGGGAAAAAGAGUCCUGAGGGCAGAAAGAAAGGAGAUCUACCUGGUGGUGGCAGAACAAAAAGAUUACACAACCUUGCAAGAAGAAUGUUAUUUAAGAGAAUCCUCAAAGGCCGCUCUAAGGAUUGCUGCUGAGAAUAAAGCACCUGAGAUGGAUAAUGUUCUUACAACAAAAGAGUUUAAAAUAAAAGGUUCAGUCUUGCAAGAUGUGAAUAUAAGAAGCUAUCUUCAACUGAAAAGUCUAUAGAAGAGAUUUUGGAACAAACAGAAGAUCAACAGGAUCUAAUUGUGAGGAGCGGACGAUACUUCUCCAGAUGGAACUGAAAUGUGAAAUUACAGAAUUUUAACUUCGGUACCAGGUGCCUGAAACUGGAAACUGAGCUUCAUCUUUAGUGCUCAGUAAUGUAUCCCUAUACUCAUGGAGAAAAAAAAACUUCAGUCCUAUGAAAAAAUGUCUUUCAAAGCAUUCAGGUGCAAAGAGUGAGUAAUGUGGUGAUCAGAAGGAAGGCUGACUGUCUGAAAAGAAGCUGGACCCAGUAAAACCGGUUGAGAAGGGACACAAUUGCUGUCUAUAAAUUUAUGAUGAGGUGACUACUUCAUCAACUUGGCUUUUCACUGGCAUAGAAGAACCAGAAAAUGAACCUGGCACUAGAAGCCUGUGUUUCUUCUGCAGCUGGGAAAGCGGUGGGCCUCUCCAGAGCAAGAUUCACCAAAGGUAAAUUGUUAUAGGAUUUUUCUGCAGGGAAAAGGGCUGCUAGAAUGGACCAUGCCAAAGUAUGUUACUGGUGGAGUGACAGGUAAAUUGAUAAGAUAUAAAAACAUGAUACAAAAAAGAAGGUUCUUCAGUGAGGUAUGAGUCAUAUGGUAGAUAGCAUAUAAAUGAUAAGCAUGACAGAUGAUAACCUGUACUGCCAAGUGCAACCUCUGAAGUAAAAAUGGGCACACAUUUCUCAAAAAAAAUACAGCCAUUGUUCUGUGGUGUUGACAUCCUCCUAAUAGUCAUAUCUGUUCACAGAAGUCAUAUCUGAGAAAAGAAAAUAACAUUUUUGUUUUACAUGGCUUGACAUCUUCAGAAGACUCAACAGGGGAAGAUUUGGUAAUUCUAAAAUUUACAGCACUGUAUAAUUAAAGCACUGAAGAGGUGGAAAAAACCCAACUGUAUAAUGAUUAAGAAUGACUUUCAGACAUUUGUGAUGACACAUCUGCCUCUUAUAUGAAUUUCCCCAAGUUUUCAUAAAAGAAGUGUACUGCAGCCUUGAAAAGCCUGAUUUUAUUACAGAUCAUUGUCAUCACUUCUGAGCUGCUUUUAGGAGAGCUCUUAACUCUAGGGAUCUCCAGCCAGCUACUUGACAAAACACCCCUCACAUGUUGACUUUCAAGGUGCUUUGGCAAACCAUAAUUGGCUAAUUUUGAAGUGCUUUUAUUGGUAUUGGAAACUACCAGUGUUGUGACAUAUAGAACCAACUUCAAUAGUAAUGUCAGAUUUUAUAUAAUGUUUGAAUUAAGCACUAUUGUUCUUAAUUAUUCUUGGUUAACCAUUUUAAAUGAUCACAUAACAAGAAAAAAAGGAGUUAUAUAUUUUAUAAGAGUUCUUAAAUGGGAUGAGUGGAUCUUAAACAUUCAGCAGGUGGAGAGUAUGUGUCUAAUGUGGACAGCAGAGUCCAUGUUUGUAUUUUAUAUGACAAGAAGCAGCAACUUGUUAAUUAAGUAAAUAUUGUAGUAAGUAUGGCUCUGACAUCCACUCGAAGCUUAUAACUCCCCAGGGAACUGAUGCUUAAUUUGUGGCCGUGAUAAUAACAACCUAAUGAACUUCCCAUCUUACUGGAUAGCUUAAUAAACUUCAAAGAAAACAAAACAAGAAUCUAUGAGUAAAAGUACAUCCUUAGCUUUUCAUAAAACAAAAUGAGCAUGAGUCGAGGCCCAGCAUGGCUUCCAAAGUUAAAGCUACCAACUACAAAGCAAAUGUAUGCAGAGAAAUGUACAACAAAAGACAUAGCUUUUAAACCUCCAGUUGAGUUUCCAUAAAUGUUGCUUACAAAAGCUACCAUUCUCUAUGUUAACAAAAAGUUGUGGAUAUGUUCUUCACUAAAUCCUCUUUUCCCAUAUAAUCCACCUUGUGCACUUUAUCUCAAGUGUGUUUUAUCUGAUCUAAUCCCAGGCUCAUUCAUUCUCAGAUAGAAGCAACAGGAUUAUUUCACACUUAAACUGAGCCCAAUCUUUCUGUGUGUCCAUAAGAGGACACCUGGGUAAUGAGAAAUUAUCUAUGGAACAAAAGAUUAAGCAGGUGCUAGGAAAAAAAAAUAAUUCUUUCAAGUAUGGCAAUUUUUUAAGGAAAAUAUAAAACAUUUCAUUGAGAAGAAUGUUCAUAGGAGGCACUACAUUUUAAAAUACAUGAUCUUAUGCCAUACUUAGUACCAAUAUUACUUGGGAUGAGUUAUAUCAGAACAAACAAAAAAAAUCUGUUUCUAUCACUAAAGCAACUUUGAUUUUCCUGGGAUUAAUUUGAAUUUCCGUGGGUUUUAAUCAGGUCAUAGAGACAAGUUCAUAUCCAGACAUAUUUUAUUUUCCUUACUCUACCAGCCCUUAGCUUAAAACACUUUCAGUUUCUGGGACAGGGUGGCAGAGAGGCUUCAGGACUUUGCCUGUGCAUCCUCUUUGGCUCUUAGAGACCUCAAGAUUACCUCAAAUAAUGUCUAUUGUUUCUAGCAUAUACAAGACUCUCGAUGCUGGAUGUGAAGGCAGAGAAACAAUUUACUGUUUUAAAACAAAGAGCCUGUUCCUCAGGAGACAUAGACUGGUAAAGUAUGUCAUUAUUUUCCAAUCAUUCCCUCCUUCCCUUUUGUCAUCAGCCUCCUCCUGGACCAGUGUAUAACAGCAGAGAAUUUGUCCCUUAAUUCUGUAGGCACAGUGAGACUGUGGACUGAUGAUUUGACUUUCUGAGUGGUAGUCCUUUGAGUUUUCUU